rnacentral:lncRNA from 13 species
UGUGAUGUAGGCACUCUUAUCCCUAUUUACAGAGAUUGGCACUGGAGAGAGAUAAAUCCCACAGUCACCAGAGUGAGGAGGAGCCAGGAUUUGAACUGAGUUCCAUCCAAAACCCAUACUCUUUGUAAUCUACACGUUGCUGUUCAGCCAAUGGCCUCUCUGGACUGAUGUUACCAAAAUGGCAUGUGACUACAAACUCAGCAACCACAAGGGCAGAAACUGCCUGAGGGAUGCGUGGGGCCACCUGUUGCUGAUGUUUUUCUUUGGGAUCUAUGGUUGCAGUAUUCAAAGUGUGAGCUGAGAGUUGUUCUUUUCUAGUAUUCAUAUUUCCAACAUGAUAAGAUGAGGACAUUGAGAUCCAGAAUGAAUUGAUUAGCUUGUCUAAAUGAAGAAGAAGCCCACCUCCGCCUUCUGGUCGCCUUCGCUGAUGAGGUCAGCCGAACCAUGGAGGCUUGCCAGCUCCCCGUCCUCGCCAGGGGCCUUCAAGUCAGAGAGGUCCACUUCAGUGAGGCUGGCCCUGUUCCUUACGGGCUCCUCCACAGGGACGCCCUCUUUUCCCGAGAUGUCUGAGGAGCCAGGCCCUGCCUCCUUCACACUCGCAUCCAGAACUUCGUUGAGGCUCAUCUGCUCCGACAGAAUGUUGGUGUCUUUGGAAGAAGACAGAGUAAGUGUCCCCUGGUUGUUUCUCAUCGUGGAGCCUGUAACUGUGGAAGAGACACUUCCCGUGAGGAUCACCGCUGGGCUCUGGGGCGCCUUCCAGGCUGGGAUCUGUGGGGGUCCGAGGGUGGCUGCUGGCAGGGAAGGGUCUCAAGUGCGGGAGCAUCUCUACACUGGGCGUUGGGUUUUACUUCGGGAGGAGCCCUGUGUCCUUUCUUACGGGACCUUCAGUUCUGCUGGCCUUCCGGAACGGGAAGUGUCAUAUGCUGGUUUUGAGCUGCAUUGUCCUAUUUGGUAUUGAAGUCAUGCACACAUACACACAGAAACAUUUGGCACCAUAGAUUUUUGUAACUAAUUGGAAUGGUGCAGAACAAAAUGAUGAUGGCACUCGCACAGGGGAUGGCUGCAGAGCUUUGAGGUGUCCCACAAGUCCAGUUCGUUCUCUGGUUUCUUUGUCCCUUCUGUCUGCCCUUGGCCCUUUAAGCCUCAGUGCUGCUCACUCAAAUCUCAUAUUGUUUAGCAGGGCUCAGGAAAGUAAGCCAGGAGCACCUAAGGUAUCCAAGCCUAUGGCCCAGGACUCUGCCCUCCUUUGCAAGUCACUCAUCUGUAUCUGCCUGUUGUCCCUGGCUCUGGGCCUCGCUUCAUACAUUUGAGUCCUUAGCAUCUUCUGUGAGUCCUUAUCAUUUUCUGAGAAGCCCCUCUAGGCUCUGUGUACUGGCUUUCCUGUUCUAUUGCAGCUACACCUCCUUCUUUUGAUAUGCCUGUGAUGCUCAUUAGAAUCUGCUUCUAGGAGGGACUGACCUAUGACCAAGAAAUGAUUCAUACAUGAACUUCUUCUGCUCAAAAACUAUGGGUCUCAACCAAGGCUUUGUCCCUGUCUCCCUACUCUUUCCUCUGAACAUUCUCACCCUUUCUGAACUCAGGUGCGCUUAUGACUUCUAACAUUGCCGGUAGUCUGACCUACACCACCAACCUAUGUUUGUACAGUUUCACUGUGCUUUAAUAGCUCCAAUUUAACACUCCUACAACCAGAUCUGGAUUUAUUUUCUGUCUUCUCCACCCAGGGUUUGACUUGCCAUCCCAGUCUCUCCUCUCCAGUCUUUUCAUCCCCAUCAGUGCCUUUCUUAUCUCUUCAGCUCUCAUCCCAAGGUCCAUCCAGUCACGUUGAGAUGUGUGUUUGCAAUGUGUCUUGUGUUCUAAGCCUUUUACUUUACUACAGAUACAGCUGUCUGGUCCUC